AAAUUGAAGAGUUUGAUCAUGGCUCAGAUUGAACGCUGGCGGCAGGCCUAACACAUGCAAGUCGAACGGUAACAGGAAGCAGCUUGCUGCUUCGCUGACGAGUGGCGGACGGGUGAGUAAUGUCUGGGAAACUGCCUGAUGGAGGGGGAUAACUACUGGAAACGGUAGCUAAUACCGCAUAAUGUCGCAAGACCAAAGAGGGGGACCUUCGGGCCUCUUGCCAUCGGAUGUGCCCAGAUGGGAUUAGCUUGUUGGUGGGGUAACGGCUCACCAAGGCGACGAUCCCUAGCUGGUCUGAGAGGAUGACCAGCCACACUGGAACUGAGACACGGUCCAGACUCCUACGGGAGGCAGCAGUGGGGAAUAUUGCACAAUGGGCGCAAGCCUGAUGCAGCCAUGCCGCGUGUAUGAAGAAGGCCUUCGGGUUGUAAAGUACUUUCAGCGGGGAGGAAGGGAGU
rnacentral:rRNA from 1 species